UACAGAGGGUGCGAGCGUUAAUCGGAAUUACUGGGCGUAAAGCGCGCGUAGGCGGCUUUGCAAGUCGGGUGUGAAAUCCCCAGGCCUAACCUGGGAACUGCAUUCGAGACUGCAUGGCUAGAGUAUCGGAGAGGGAAGUGGAAUUUCAGGUGUAGCGGUGAAAUGCGUAGAUAUCUGUAGGAACAUCAGUGGCGAAAGCGACUUCCUGGACGAAUACUGACGCUCAUGUGCGAAAGCGUGGGGAGCAAACAGG
rnacentral:rRNA from 1 species